rnacentral:snoRNA from 1 species
AGCACUUGUUAAACUUUGUUAAACUGAUGGACAAAGACUUAAAGACAGGUGCAAAAAUAAAUCCUCUUUUGCAACCCAAACCUCCUGGUUAAGUAUGAGUUUUGAUACAGAUAAGAAGGAACAUG